GCGGCCGUAGUCUAGCCUGGUUAGGACAUCGGCCUCCCGAGCCGACAGCCCGGGUUCAAAUCCCGGCGGCCGCACCA
rnacentral:tRNA from 1 species